GGGUCGAGCUACAUGCAGUCGAGCGGAUGAAGGGAGCUUGCUCCUGGAUUCAGCGGCGGACGGGUCAUUAAUGCCUAGGAAUCUGCCUGGUAGUGGGGGAUAACGUCCGGAAACGGGCGCUAAUACCGCAUACGUCCUGAGGGAGAAAGUGGGGGAUCUUCGGACCUCACGCUAUCAGAUGAGCCUAGGUCGGAUUAGCUAGUUGGUGGGGUAAAGGCCUACCAAGGCGACGAUCCGUAACUGGUCUGAGAGGAUGAUCAGUCACACUGGAACUGAGACACGGUCCAGACUCCUACGGGAGGCAGCAGUGGGGAAUAUUGGACAAUGGGCGAAAGCCUGAUCCAGCCAUGCCGCGUGUGUGAAGAAGGUCUUCGGAUUGUAAAGCACUUUAAGUUGGGAGGAAGGGCAGUAAGUUAAUACCUUGCUGUUUUGACGUUACCAACAGAAUAAGCACCGGCUAACUUCGUGCCAGCAGCCGCGGUAAUACGAAGGGUGCAAGCGUUAAUCGGAAUUACUGGGCGUAAAGCGCGCGUAGGUGGUUCAGCAAGUUGGAUGUGAAAUCCCCGGGCUCAACCUGGGAACUGCAUCCAAAACUACUGAGCUAGAGUACGGUAUAGGGUGGUGGAAUUUCCGGUGUAGCGGAAAAAUGCGUAUAUAUAAGGAAGAAGGCCAGGGUUGAAGUUAUCUCCUUCUCUGAUUCUGCACCGAAUUGGGAAAAGAUUAUGAACAUAUUCAAUCUUUUUCCUU
rnacentral:rRNA from 1 species